rnacentral:sRNA from 1 species
UGAUGCUGACCGGAUGUCAA